ACACAGCAAAAGAGCCACCAUCACCCGCUCCGAGGUCAGUGCUUUAGAAAGCACGAUGGAGAUGGGCAACAGAAAAUAUUCCUGAAGAGUUGGAAGCUGGACUUUGUUCUUCAGAUGUUUGACACAUUUUUUUGAGAAAAGGAAUUUCUGAUCUUUAUAAACCACUGUUGUCUGACCUUCUUGAACUAUAUAAAUAUAAACAUACCUAACGUACAGAACCAGUCAAGAUAUUAGCUAAGAGACACAACAGAUCCAUCUAUAACAUAAUUGCUUUGUUACUUGAUCUCUUGCACUAAGGAAAACAUUCUACAAGUUCAAGGACUGUAACUGCAUAGAUGAAUGACUUUAGG